ACAGGGAGUGUCCCUCAGGGCUGUAGAACAGGACUGGGAUUACCAAAGCCCUUUUCUAUGCCCUGAGGGACACUGAGCAUGUCA
ensembl:miRNA